GAAAAGCAGUGUCUCUCGUUUUUUUUAACCCAUUAUUUGGCCGCCAUUUAACCGUGCGCCAAGGCCCGAUUGUGACGGAGAUGGCACCGGCUCGACGACUUCGGCGAUUAGGUGAGUUUCCCCUUUCCCUUUUACAUUUUAAGAGAAAAAUAACUAAAAAAUAAAGGAAAAAAAAUAAAAACAAAACCGAUAACUAAGAAUGACGAACACCAAAUAAAUAAAUGGAAAAAAAACCUUUUUGUAUUCAAAAUCUCUUUAUAUCUCCCCCUUUUACACUGAAAAUAUUGGCCUUUUAUAGCCGAAAAUGGAAAAGAAAACUAAAUCCAAACAAAUCUAUUCGGUUGUUUGUUGGCUCGAUUUUUCUUUGCUCUUCUCUUUCGCUUGUUGCAGGUACGUGCUUGAGGAGCGACAUUUGCGGAGGUGUGGCGUGCGUAGAGGAGCGCGAAGAGGCAGUAGUUGCGGCGCCAGAUUGCUAGUGGCCGCUGGGGCAGAAGCAGCUACGGCGCUGAAGCAGAAAGGGCUAGGGUUUCUGCACUGGGCUAGGGUUAAUGUAAUUGGGCUGAAUUUUUGGGUUUAGUCUGCAGAUGGGUAAUUAGGUUAAUUUUGGGCCUUAAAAUGUCUUACGGGCCUGGGCAUAGAAAUUGGGUAUUACAGGU
rnacentral:lncRNA from 1 species